GGGCGCGCAGCUGAUGCAGGCGAAGCGGGUGGCGCUAGGUACCCCCAGCCCGUGGCUGCCCCCUGGCUCGCGCGACGCCUCCGCGCCCGCCACCGCCCUCCGCCUGUGCGGAAAGACCCGGCCCCGCGAACGCAGCUCGCCUUGGUUGAGUCCCCAAUGUGUGCCUUUGACCCCAAUGUGAACAGGCCCGAGCCAGGGCGACCCUGACCUCCCCGGCUGAUGCUCCAGGUGAAGAGACCGGCCGUAAACCCAAAAGCGAGAUCAUUUCGGAGGUGAAGGAGAUGAACGAGGUGACAUGGAUGGGGCAGACGGCACUGCUUUUGCGCCCAGGUCCUGGGUCUCUAGGCCACCGCCCGUCGUGGCCGCCCCUCUGCUCACCAGGGAGGCCAGACAGGAACCCUGCAGCUGCCAGAGCAAGCAUGUCCCACAGCCUCGGGAGGCCUCCCAAAAUGUGUCCAGAUUCCCACAGGCAGAGAGAGGGACUGAAAGGCUGAAGUGAAGUGACCGUGCCUGCCCAGCCUGGGACUGAGAGCCUGAAGACCAGCUUUCCAGACUCUGUCCCAGAACCCCCCUUGGCCCUCAGCAAAUCCCCUCCUCCUGGCCUGAAACAGACUCCAGGCUUCUUGCAGAGACGUCUUCUGUGGAGAACCAGAAAGCUUGAGUCCACCCUGACUGUCCCGGGACAGAGCUGCUGAGCAGGGUGCAGGAGCCACAAACACCGGAUCUUUCAAGGCACAUCAGUGACAGAUCUGGGCACAGCUGGUCCAGCCAGGACAUUGAGCCACUGCAGCCCCAAGGCUCUAAAUGCGGUGCUUCAGCUCUAGCUUGGCCACCGUGGCCCGGUGCACCUCGUCAGGGCCGUCGGCAAAGCGCAGGGCUCGGGCCCAGGUGAAGAACUGAGCCAGUGGGUAGUCGCUGCUCAGGCCUGCUGCUCCAAAGGCCUGGCAGACACAGGGUGGAGGGAGGCAGCCCUGGGUCAGCCCUUGUCUCCAACAGCCCCAGGAAUGAUAGCCUGCUCUUGAUGGCCCAUAACAACCAUCUUCCCGGUCCCUGUGGCACCUAUGUGAUACAAUCACUAAUAUUCCAGAGGGCUUCCAUGGGGCCACACCUGCCAUCCCACGGCCUCCAGACUCCCCAGGCCCACUCUGCAGGUGCCUUCUGCCCUGUGCUGGGGCCGGGGGUUAGGAUCUAAGGAGGCGGCCACCCUGCAUGGGAAAGAGCCUGGGCUCUGGGCUUAUGAAAACCCAAGUUCAUGUGAAUUUGAGGUCAGCUACUUGCAAGCUCAGUGACCUGGGCAAGUCACUUCACUUUUCUGUGCCCGUUUCCUCACAUUCAAAAUGGGGGUAGGAUGGCACCCCCCACCUUGCUGGGUCAUUCUGAAGAGGAAAAGGAAAGUUGCAUGCGUGGUGAGUGGGUGACACAGGGCAUCUGCCAGGGUCUAUGGGAGGCUGGGCGGCUGAAGACAGGAGAGUUUGGCAUCUGGUAUUGAUGGUUCAAAUAAGCCAACUGUCUGGUCUGUGCUCACCUGAAUCGCACGAUCAAUCACUCGGGAAGCCAUGGACGGGGCGACCAUUUUAAUCAUGGCUAUAUCCAAGGCUGCAGCCUGUAAGCAGGAGGAGAUGCGAUUAUAAAAGACCCGAGGGCAGCCUGGGUGGCAGAGUGAGACCCCCGCCCCCUAUCUCUACUAAAAAUACAAAAACUAGCAGGGUGUGAUGGCAUGUGCUUGUAGUCCCAGCUACUCAGGAGGCUGAGGUGAGAGGAUUGUUUGAGUCUGGGAAGUCGGGGCUGCGGUAAGCUGAGAUUGCAACACUGCACUCAAGCCUGGACAACAGAGUGAGACCCCCUCUCAAAAACAAACAACAGGCCAGGCACGGUGGUUCAGGCCUGUGAUUCCAGCACUUUGGGAGGCCGAGGCGGGCAGAUCACCUGAGGUCAGGAGUUUGAGACCAACCUGGCCAACGUAUAGUGAAACCCAGUCUCUACUAAAAAGUACAAAAAUUAGCUGGGUGUGGUGGUGCACACCUGUAGUCCCAGCUACUUGGGAAACUGAGGCAAGAGAGCUGCUUGAACCCGGGAGGCGGAGGUUGCAGUGAGCCAAUAUUGUGCCACUCUACUCCAGCCUGGGCCACCGAGUGACACUCUGUCUCUCAAAAACAAAACAAAAAACUAAACCACAAAAAAGACCCGAAGGCAGAAAGCCUGGAAGAAUGAUCAGAUUCCCAGCAGGAAGUCAAACACCAUGGUCCAAAACAGAGGCCCCAAGGUCUCGCUGAUGUGAGCUGGGUGAGGCUGCCCCUGCCUGGUGUACGGCUUGACAGCACCCAGGGAUGAAGGGCGCCAUGUUGGCAACUACUAUCUUAUGUCACAAGAUGCAAAGCAAGUGCUGGCAGAAUGUGGCUGUCUUCCCAGAUGACGGGGAACACAGCCAGCACACACUGAAGGGAUAAGGGGAGGGUCCUGUGCUUUGCUCAGGGUCAUGGCCAGCUCUGCCUCCAAGCAGCAGUGGACCAAGGCCACUCAGGGCUCUGGGAAACUGAGCUACAGUGAUCUGCCCUGGGGCAGGGUGUUCAAGGGAGACACCCAGCAGCCUCCACCAUAUCUAGCACACCAGCGUCAAAGAACCAGGAACUGUGAGCAUGGGUUGGUCCCUGACGGCUGAGGGUCUUGGGCGGGGUUGGAGGCUGCCCCACAGAAAGCUGGACAAAGCAAGGUCAACAUGGCAUUGUGCUUGAUCAUCACAGGCACUUAGAAAGAGCCUUAGUUAGCCUGGGCAACAUGGUGAGAGCCGGUCUCUACAAAAAGUAAAGAAUUAGCUGGGCAUGGAGGUAUGCGCCUGGAGUCCCAGCUACUUGGGAGGCUGAGGCUUCAGUGAGCCAUGAUGUACCACUGCAUUCCAGCCUGGCUACAGAGCAAGGCCCUGUCUCAAAAAAUAAAUAAAUAAAAGGUUAAAAA